CGACACACACUUCAGUGCUCUGUGUGUGUUUAUAACUCUGACAAACAUCAAACAUGAUCAACAACUGUUUCUCACUAGAACUGAACCUACAACCAACAGAAAUGACUUUCAUCACCAUAUUGAUCUGGACUCUGACUGUAUUAUGUAGAGAAUCUAUUGGGCAGGUGACAGUGACUCAAACUCCCUCAGUGCUGCUCGCUCAAACUGGACAAUCAGUCACUGUGUCCUGUAAAUCCAGCAGUGAUCCUACCUGCUGUUGUAGUGGAAAACAGUGUCUCAGCUGGUACUUACAGAAACCUGGAGAAGCUCCUAAACUCCUGAUUUAUGGAACAAGCAGCCGUCAGUCAGGAACUCCAUCUAGAUUCAGUGGCAGUGGAUCUAACAGUGAUUUCACUCUGACCAUCAGUGGAGUCCAGACUGAAGAUGCUGGACAUUAUUACUGUCAGAGUUACCACAGUAGAAAUGUGUUCACACAGUGAUUGUGAGUUGUACAAAAACCUGUGUCAGUCAGAGUCACAGUGACUGAACUGAUGCUGCAGCUGAUCAAACACUAUCACUCACUACUGACACACAGAGACCAAACACAGAACUACACAUGAGCUCACAACUGA